GUACACUCCUGCGGGAGGCAGCAGUGGGGAAUAUUGGACAAUGGGCGCAAGCCUGAUCCAGCCAUGCCGCGUGAGUGAUGAAGGCCCUAGGGUUGUAAAGCUCUUUCACCGGAGAAGAUAAUGACGGUAUCCGGAGAAGAAGCCCCGGCUAACUUCGUGCCAGCAGCCGCGGUAAUACGAAGGGGGCUAGCGUUGUUCGGAAUUACUGGGCGUAAAGCGCACGUAGGCGGAUCGAUCAGUCAGGGGUGAAAUCCCAGGGCUCAACCCUGGAACUGCCUUUGAUACUGUCGAUCUGGAGUAUGGAAGAGGUGAGUGGAAUUCCGAGUGUAGAGGUGAAAUUCGUAGAUAUUCGGAGGAACACCAGUGGCGAAGGCGGCUCACUGGUCCAUUACUGACGCUGAGGUGCGAAAGCGUGGGGAGCAAACAGGAUUAGAUACCCCGGUAGUCCCA
rnacentral:rRNA from 1 species